rnacentral:lncRNA from 1 species
GUGUAUUUGUUUGGAUCGUUUAAAUCACGUGUUAAACAACCGUAUGUUACGGUGUGUUUGAUGACUUAUAUUAAAUUGACCUGUAUAUAUGUUUAUUUCAGUUUUGUUCUGUUAUUAUACCACUUCUGUCAAGCUGUAUAUUAUGUAUAUCUGCCUCUUGUAACAGUGUAAACUGUCAGAGUGUACAAUAAAAUCUUGAAUCUU